UACGUAGGGUGCAAGCGUUGUCCGGAAUUAUUGGGCGUAAAGAGCUCGUAGGCGGCUUGUCACGUCUGCUGUGAAAACUCGGGCUCAACCCGACUCGCAGUGGAUACGGGCUAGCUAGAGGUGCGGUAGGGAGACUGGAAUUCCUGGUGUAGCGGUGAAAUGCGCAGAUAUCAGGAGGAACACCGGUGCGGAGGCGGUCUCUGGACCGAUACUGACGCUGAGGAGCGAAAGCGUGGGGAGCGAACAGG
rnacentral:rRNA from 1 species